rnacentral:rRNA from 1 species
AUUGAACGCUGGCGGCAUGCCUUACACAUGCAAGUCGAACGGCAGCACGGGAGCAAUCCUGGUGGCGAGUGGCGAACGGGUGAGUAAAGUAUCGGAACGUGCCCAGUCGUGGGGGAUAACGUAGCGAAAGUUACGCUAAUACCGCAUACGGUCUAUGGAUGAAAGCGGGGGAUCGCAAGACCUCGCGCGAUUGGAGCGGCCGAUAUCAGAUUAGGUAGUUGGUGGGGUAAAGGCUCACCAAGCCGACGAUCUGUAGCUGGUCUGAGAGGACGACCAGCCACACUGGGACUGAGACACGGCCCAGACUCCUACGGGAGGCAGCAGUGGGGAAUUUUGGACAAUGGGCGCAAGCCUGAUCCAGCCAUGCCGCGUGCAGGAUGAAGGCCUUCGGGUUGUAAACUGCUUUUGUACGGAACGAAAAGGUUUGGCCUAAUACGCUGAACUCAUGACGGUACCGUAAGAAUAAGCACCGGCUAACUACGUGCCAGCCGCCGCAGUAAAAC